GACGUAGGUGGCGAACGUUAUCCGGAAUUAUUGGGCGUAAAGGGUGCGUAGAUGGCCUGACAAGUUAACAGUGGUAAAUCGAGGCUCAACCUCGUGGAAACUGAUAAUACUGUCUGGCUCGAGUGCAGAAGAGGUUAACGGAAUUCCAUGUGGAGCGGUAAAAUGCAUAGAUAUAUGGAAGAACACCAAUAACGGCGAAGGCAGUUAACUAUGCUGUUACUGACAUUGAGGCACGAAAGCGUGGGGAGCAAAACGG
rnacentral:rRNA from 1 species